CCAAUGAUGAUCCACACAGAAUAAUGAUCAGGAUGCCAACUCCCUAAGAUGAUUCCUUCAUCAAAAUUCUCACUCUGAGAAUUUUCUUCGGCAGUAGGACCACAAGACCUUCUUUUUCUCCUCCUAGCCUUCCUAUCUCUAUCUUUCUUCUCUCCUUGUCUUCUUUAUAUCUCUUCCUGGGCUCUUGUCCUAAAAUUGGACUUGUCCUUACUAUUU
rnacentral:lncRNA from 1 species